GACGAACGCUGGCGGCGUGCUUAACACAUGCCAGUCGAACGGAAAGGCCCUGCUUGCAGGGUACUCGAGUGGCGAACGGGUGAGUAACACGUGGGUGAUCUGCCCUGCACUUCGGGAUAAGCCUGGGAAACUGGGUCUAAUACCGGAUAGGAGCCAUUUUUAGUGUGAUGGUUGGAAAGUUUUUUCGGUGUAGGAUGAGCUCGCGGCCUAUCAGCUUGUUGGUGGGGUAAUGGCCUACCAAGGCGGCGACGGGUAGCCGGCCUGAGAGGGUGGACGGCCACAUUGGGACUGAGAUACGGCCCAGACUCCUACGGGAGGCAGCCGUGGGGAAUAUUGCACAAUGGGCGCAAGCCUGAUGCAGCGACGCCGCGUGGGGGAUGACGGCCUUCGGGUUGGAAACUCCUUUCGCUAGGGACGAAGCUUUUUGUGACGGUACCUAGAGAAGAAGCACCGGCUAACUACGUG
rnacentral:rRNA from 1 species